rnacentral:rRNA from 1 species
GACGUAGGGGGCAAGCGUUGUCCGGAAUUAUUGGGCGUAAAGCGCACGUAGGCGGCUUUGUAAGUUAGAGGUGAAAGCCCAGGGCUUAACCCUGGAAUUGCCUUUAAGACUGCAUCGCUAGAAUCGUGGAGAGGUGAGUGGAAUUCCGAGUGUAGAGGUGAAAUUCGUAGAUAUUCGGAAGAACACCAGUGGCGAAGGCGACUCACUGGACACGUAUUGACGCUGAGGUGCGAAAGCGUGGGGAGCAAACAGG